CGCGGGUUAGUGUAAUAGUUAACAUUUUUGACUCAUAAUCAAAAGAUUGGAGUGCGAAUCUUCAAUCCGCAC